AAGAAAAAUCCAUUGGUUUGAGAAUCUUUGAGACCAUGAGAUUCUCGAUCUGUGCAGGGUAUUAAUGUCUAAGAGCUGCCUAUUCCAGGAUUUCUCUAGAGGAUGGCAAGAGUCCUGAACCAGUUAUCAUUUCUGUCUUGCCGGUCUGACAGGGUUGGGAAGGUCCGAGCCUUGGGAACCCCUGUCUUUCAUACACAUCUGAGG